ACUAUUUUGGCAGAUAAGUGUAAUGGAUUUAGAAUCUAUGGAUGUAAUUUUAAUUACAAAUAUUA
rnacentral:tRNA from 1 species